rnacentral:rRNA from 1 species
GACGAACGCUGGCGGCGUGCCUAAUACAUGCAAGUUGAGCGAUGAAGAUUGGUGCUUGCACCAAUUUGAAGAGCAGCGGACGGGUGAGUAACGCGUGGGUAAUCUGCCUUUGAGCGGGGGACAACAUUUGGAAACGAAUGCUAAUACCGCAUAAUAACUUUAAACAUAAGUUUUAAGUUUGAAAGAUGCAAUUGCAUCACUCAAAGAUUAUCCCGCGUUGUAUUAGCUAGGUGGUGAGGUAAAGGCUAAACAAGGCGAGGAUACAUAGCCGACCUGAGAGGGGGGUCGGCCAAAUUGGGACCGAGAAACGGCCCAAACUCCUACGGGAGGCCGCAGUAGGGAAUCUUCGGCAAUGGACGAAAGUCUGAACGAGCAAAGCCGGGUGAGUGAAGAAGGUUUUCGGAUCGUAAAACUCUGUUGGUAGAGAAGAAAGUUGGUGAGAGUGGAAAGCUCAUCAAGUGACGGUAACUAAUCAGAAAGGGACGGCUAACUACGUG